rnacentral:rRNA from 1 species
UCGAUACGAGAACUCUUCUGCUUGCAGAAGAUAGUAAAGUGGCGCACGGGUGAGUAACGCGUGGGUAAUCUACCUCUAACUCGGGGAUAACAUCGCGAAAGUGAUGCUAAUACCGGAUAAUAUCUAAUUUGCUUCGGCAGUUUAGGUCAAGGGUGGCCUCUAUAUAUAAGCUACUGAUUGGAGAUGAGCCCGCGUACCAUUAGCUUGUUGGUAGGGUAAUGGCCUACCAAGGCUACGAUGGUUAGCUGGUCUGAGAGGAUGAUCAGCCACACUGGAACUGACACACGGUCCAGACUCCUACGGGAGGCAGCAGUGAGGAAUUUUGCGCAAUGGGGGAAACCCUGACGCAGCAACGCCGCGUGAGUGAUGAAGGCUUUCGGGUCGUAAAGCUCUGUCAAGUGGGAAGAACAAGCUUGAUGUUAAUACCAUCAUGAACUGACGGUACCACUGAAGGAAGCACCGGCUAACUCCGUGCCAGCAGCCGCGGUAAUACGGGGGGUGCAAGCGUUAUUCGGAAUCAUUGGGCGUAAAGAGCGCGUAGGCGGCCCUUUAAGUCAGAUGUGAAAUCCCGGGGCUU